AUUGAACGCUGGCGGCAGGCCUAACACAUGCAAGUCGAGCGAGCGGCGGACGGGUGAGUAAUGUCUGGGAAACUGCCUGAUGGAGGGGGAUAACUACUGGAAACGGUAGCUACUACCGCAUACCAUCAGACGUGCCCAGAUGGGGUUAGCUAGUAGGCGGGGUAACGGCCCACCUAGGCGACGAUCCCUAGCUGGUCUGAGAGGAUGACCAGCCACACUGGAACUGAGACACGGUCCAGACGCCUACGGGAGGCAGCAGUGGGGAAUAUUGGACAAUGGGCGCAAGCCUGAUGCAGCCAUGCCGCGUGUGUGAAGAAGGCCGUCGGGUUGUAAAGCACUUUCAGCGGGGAGGCGUUACCCGCAGAAGAAGCACCGGCUAACUCCGUGCCAGCCGCCGCGGUAAUAC
rnacentral:rRNA from 1 species